UUGGCUGCUCACAUCACCUAAAUGCAUGUAGACUCAUGUAGCUAGAAGUCAGUAACAUGGGCAUGAAAGUUUGCAUAGCAUUAACACAUGUAAUAACCAGCUCCAUACAAAGCGAGAAGAAGCAAACUGCAAAUAUCUGUCCACCAAAACAUGCAAUCAUAAGAACAAAGGAAAAAGAGAAAAAGUUACAAUUAGAGUGAAAUAAAUCACCAUUAUACAAUUUUUUUUUCAUAUUAAUCACCACAUAUAAUAGUGAGCUGUCUCGUUACUUACUAAAAUAUCAAGUAUGAAAAGAUGAAAUGAAUGAAUACAAACAUUAAUCAGUAGAAUGAUAAUGAAAUUACUGACUGGGGCUCAUGAUAGAGAAGACUCUAAUUACCUAAGUACAGAAAUUUUUUUAUGUAAUUUACUAUUGAUAAUAAAAUUUAAGAAUAUGAGAUGUAGAGGUUUCCACGUUUCCAAGUAUGCCACUCUAAUGUAUUAAUACUAAAGCUUUCAAGUAAUGAAAUUCCUCAUGUUUUCAAUGAAAUAUAGAUCAUAUUUAUAUAGAUC
rnacentral:lncRNA from 1 species